rnacentral:lncRNA from 1 species
CAAUUUAAAAAUAUUAAAAUUGUAUUUAAUUUUAUUAUUUAUUAAAUUAAAUAUAUAUUUUGUCUUUACACUCAAAGAUGCUCACAUUUUGAGUGAAUCAUCUAAAUUUUCUGAAGAUACACACUUUCCUUUCCUUUCUUUGAACACCUUAUUAGAUGAAGGAUUAGACAGAGGAUACAAGUUAUACAAAGAAGAAAAAAAAAACAUGAAGCAGUCUAGCUAGAUAAGUGGCUUGGUGGAAGAGUGAGUGUUGGGGUAAGGACAGCAUCGACAAUAUGGGCUGGCUAUACCACAGCACCCAUUCGGGCAUUCAAAACGUGUAUCACUUCCCAUCUUUUCACCUUCUUUAGCUGAAAUCAAACCCACAUUGUCUUUAGAUAGUAGUCAAUUAAUAAUCUUAUUACUAAGUGAGUCCAGUGAGAUUUAGUGUUCCAUAAUUGUGUAUCAUUGUGUCGCACUAUUAUAUUUAUAGCUUUAUAAUAUAUUUUAUAAAAAUAAUUUUAUUAUAAUAUUAUGAAUUAUAAUUAAUUUUAUAUUCAAAUAUUAGAAUUAAAAAAAUAUAUACCCUAACUUUAGAUUUAUCAACUUCAAUAAUAAAUUAUUAAUAAAUGAAAAUAAAUGAUAAAAAUAAUUAUAUAUCCUAACUGGAUGGAAUAUAUCAUAGUUAAUAAUAACAAAAUUAAUUAAAGUAUACAAAUUUUGAAACUUAACAAAAAAAAAUAAGAUGAAAUAAAAUAAAAUAAAACAAAAAACAAAAAUAAUAGUACAAAAUAGGGCAUCAAAUAUAAUACACUAGAUUUCAAAUAUGAAUGAACCUUUUAUAUAUAUAUAUAUAUGGAAAGCAGGGAACUCAGUUCAGUUAAGCUUCUAAAACCAACUCCUACUGAUAUUUCUGAGGCGAGUGCCCUUGUUUCAACCACUGGUGGCCUUCCUUCUCUAAAGCACAAAGGAAGAGGAAGCCUUACUCCCUGU